UUAAUUUCUGAAUCUCAAGAUGGGGAGAAAAAGAUCUUUUUUCUAAUGGCACACUUUGCAUUUCUAAACAGUUCUAGGCAAAAGAUAAAUUUAGAAGUGGGAAUAUUGAAUGCCUAAUAAACAGGGUGUACUCCA